UCGGGAACAGUCUAUAAUAAACGGUAUCACUCAAGUUUUUCCAGAGGCACAUCACGGGUAUUGCAUGUACCAUAUACAAGGUAAUUUGAAGAUUAGGUAUCGGGGCAAAGGCAUCGUUUCAUUGUUCAGGAGAGCAAUCGAAGCUUACAGUGCUGAAGAGUGUAAUAAGUUCAUGUUCGAGAUAGAAAGUAAAUCAUUAUCGAUGUUGGAGUAUCUAAC
rnacentral:lncRNA from 1 species